AGCUUUAACUGAAGAGUUUGAUCCUGGCUCAGAGUGAACGCUGGCGGCAGGCCUAACACAUGCAAGUCGAGCGGCAGCGGGUCGUAGCAAUACGAUGCCGGCGAGCGGCGGACGGGUGAGGAAUACAUCGGAAUCUACCCAGUCGUGGGGGAUAACGUAGGGAAACUUACGCUAAUACCGCAUACGACCUGAGGGUGAAAGCAGGGGACCGCAAGGCCUUGCGCGAUUGGAUGAGCCGAUGUCGGAUUAGCUAGUUGGUGAGGUAAAGGCUCACCAAGGCGACGAUCCGUAGCUGGUCUGAGAGGAUGAUCAGCCACACUGGAACUGAGACACGGUCCAGACUCCUACGGGAGGCAGCAGUGGGGAAUAUUGGACAAUGGGCGCAAGCCUGAUCCAGCCAUGCCGCGUGUGUGAAGAAGGCCUUCGGGUUGUAAAGCACUUUUGUCCGGGAAGAAAUCUUCCGACCUAAUACGUCGGGAGGAUGACGGUACCGGAAGAAUAAGCACCGGCUAACUUCGUGCCAGCAGCCGCGGUAAUACGAAGGGUGCAAGCGUUACUCGGAAUUACUGGGCGUAAAGCGUGCGUAGGUGGUUCGUUAAGUCUGCCGUGAAAGCCCCGGGCUCAACCUGGGAAUGGCGGUGGAUACUGGCGGACUAGAG
rnacentral:rRNA from 1 species